UACGUAGGGACCAAGCGUUGUUCGGAUUUACUGGGCGUAAAGGGCGCGUAGGCGGCGUGACAAGUCAAUUGUGAAAUCUCCGGGCUUAACUCGGAACGGUCAAUUGAUACUGUUGUGCUAGAGUACAGAAGGGGCAAUCGGAAUUCUUGGUGUAGCGGCGAAAUGCGUAGAUAUCAAGAGGAAUACCUGAGGUGAAGACGGGUUGCUAGGCCGACACUGACGCUGAAGCGCGAAAGCCAGGGGAGCAAACGGG
rnacentral:rRNA from 1 species